rnacentral:rRNA from 1 species
UUUCAAAAGCUUGCUUUUGAAAGAUUAGCGGCGGACGGGUGAGUAACACGUGGGUAACCUGCCUGUAAGACUGGGAUAACUCCGGGAAACCGGUGCUAAUACCAGAUAGUUUAUCUUUUCGCAUGAAAGGAUAAGGAAAGACGGUUUCGGCUGUCACUUACGGAUGGACCCGCGGCGCAUUAGCUAGUUGGUGAGGUAAUGGCUCACCAAGGCAACGAUGCGUAGCCGACCUGAGAGGGUGAUCGGCCACACUGGGACUGAGACACGGCCCAGACUCCUACGGGAGGCAGCAGUAGGGAAUCUUCCGCAAUGGACGAAAGUCUGACGGAGCAACGCCGCGUGAGCGAUGAAGGUUUUCGGA